rnacentral:rRNA from 1 species
AUUGAACGCUGGCGGCAUGCCUUACACAUGCAAGUCGAACGGUAACAGGUCUUCGGAUGCUGACGAGUGGCGAACGGGUGAGUAAUACAUCGGAACGUGCCUAGUAGUGGGGGAUAACUACUCGAAAGAGUGGCUAAUACCGCAUGAGAUCUACGGAUGAAAGCAGGGGAUCGCAAGACCUUGUGCUACUAGAGCGGCCGAUGGCAGAUUAGGUAGUGGGUGGGAUAAAAGCUUACCAAGCCGACGAUCUGUAGCUGGUCUGAGAGGACGAUCAGCCACACUGGGACUGAGACACGGCCCAGACUCCUACGGGAGGCAGCAGUGGGGAAUUUUGGACAAUGGGCGAAAGCCUCAUCCAGCAAUGCCGCGUGCAGGAUGAAGGCCUUCGGGUUGUAAACUGCUUUUGUACGGAACGAAAAGCCCCGGGUUAAUACCCUGGGGUCAUGACGGUACCGUAAGAAUAAGCACCGGCUAACUACGUGCCAGCCGCCGCGAUAA